UACGAAGGGAGCUAGCGUUGUUCGGAAUCACUGGGCGUAAAGCGCAGGUAGGCGGAUUUGUCAGUCGGGGGUGAAAUCCCGAGGCUCAACCUCGGCACUGCCUCCGAUACAGCAAAUCUCGAGUCUGGGAGAGGUGGGUGGAAUUCCUAGUGUAGAGGUGAAAUUCGUAGAUAUUCGGAAGAACACCAGUGGCGAAGGCGGCUCACUGGCCCGAGACUGACGCUGAGAUGCGAAAGCGUGGGGAGCAAACAGG
rnacentral:rRNA from 1 species